rnacentral:tRNA from 1 species
UCCUGGCUGGCUCAGUAGGUAGAGUGUGUGACUCUUGAUCUCAGGGUCAUGAGUGUGAGCCCCAUGUUGGGUG